UUUAAAGUCUGAUCUGCCCCAUGAGGGAUUAAAUGGCCGCGGUACCUUGACCGUGCAAAGGUAGCAUAAUAAUUAGUUUUUUAAUUGAAAGCUGGAAUGAAUGAUUGGACGAAAAAAUAACUGUCUCAGUUUAAUUUAAUUAGAAUUUUAUUUUUAAGUAAGAAAGCUUAAAUUAUAUUAAAAGACGAGAAGACCCUAUAGAGUUUUAUAGUAUAAUAAUUAUUGAUUUUUUAGUAUUAUUUUAUAAAUAAUUAUAUUUAUUAUUUUGUUGGGGCGAUAGAAAAAUUAAAUUAACUUUUUUUUUAUUUAUACAUUAAUUUAUGUUUACCUGAUCCAUCUUUGAUGAUUAUAAGAUUAAGUUACCUUAGGGAUAACAGCGUAAUUUUUUUUUAGAGUUCCUAUCGAAAGAAAAGGUUGCGACCUCGAUGUUGGAUUAAAAUUAAGGCUUGGUGUAGGCGCUAAGCAAUUAGGUCUGUUCGACCUUUAAAAUUUUACA
rnacentral:rRNA from 1 species